rnacentral:rRNA from 1 species
GGAUGAACGUUGGCGGCGUGCCUAAUACAUGCAAGUCGAACGAAGACUGUAGUAAUACUGUCUUAGUGGCGAACGGGUGAGUAACGCGUGGGUGACCUGCCCCGAAGUGUGGGAUAACAGUUCGAAAGGAUUGCUAAUACUGCAUAAUAUCCAAGAGAUUAGACGCUUUUGGAUUAAAGGAGUAAUUCGCUUCGGGAGGGGCCCGCGUCCCAUCAGCUAGUUGGUAAGGUAACGGCUUACCAAGGCGAUGACGGGUAGGGGACCUGAGAGGGUGGCCCCCCACAAUGGAACUGAAACACGGUCCAUACACCUACGGGUGGCAGCAGUAGGGAAUAUUAGUAAUGGGCGAAAGCCUGAACUAGCAACGCCGCGUGUGCGAAGAAGGCCUUCGGGUCGUAAAGCACUUUUUGAGAGGAUGAGGAAGGACGGUACUCUCAGAAUAAGUCUCGGCUAACUACGUGCCAGCAGCCGCGGUAACACGUAGGAGGCAAACGUUAUCCGGAUUUACUGGGCGUAAAGCGCGUGUAGGUGGUUUGGUAAGUAGGGCGUGAAAGCUCCUGGCUCAACUGGGAGAGGACGUUCUAAACUGCCAAGCUUGAGGAUGGUAGAGGGAGGUGGAAUUCCGGGUGUAGCGGUGGAAUGCGCAGAUAUCCGGAGGAACACCAGUGGCGAAGGCGGCCUCCUGGACCACUCCUGACACUCAGACGCGAAAGCUAGGGUAGCAAACGGGAUUAGAGACCCCGGUAGUCCUAGCCCUAAACGAUGUAGACUUGGCGUCGGUGGUUUAAUCGCCAUCGGUGUCGUAGCUAACGCGAUAAGUCUACCGCCUGGGGACUACGGCCGCAAGGUUAAAACUCAUAGGAAUUGACGGGUCCCCGCACAAGCAGCGGAGCGUGUGGUUUAAUUCGAUGCUACACGAAGAACCUUACCUGGGUUUGACAUAGAGGUAGUAGGGAAGCGAAAGCGGACCGACCCUUCGGGGAGCCUCUACAGGUGUUGCAUGGCUGUCGUCAGCUCGUGUCGUGAGAUGUUCGGUUAAGUCCGCUAACGAGCGCAACCCUCAUCCUUAGUUGCCAUCAUUAAGUUGGGCACCCUAAGGAAACUGCCGCAGUUAAUGCGGAGGAAGGUGGGGAUGACGUCAAGUCCUCAUGGCCCUUAUAUCCAGGGCUACACACGUGCUACAAUGGGCGGCACAAAGGGUUGCGAACCCGCGAGGGGGAGCUAAUCCCACAAAUCCGCUCCUAGUUCGGAUUGGACUCUGCAACUCGAGUCCAUGAAGCUGGAAUCGCUAGUAAUCGCGGAUCAGCAUGCCGCGGUGAAUACGUUCCCGGGCCU